rnacentral:lncRNA from 1 species
GGGCAAUAAAAAACCCUGGAAACACUUUUGGUUUGUCAUAAAAAAUAAAGUACUAUAUACAUAUGCUGCAAGUGAGGACGUGGCCGCUUUGGAGAGUCAGCCUUUAUUAGGAUUCACUGUUAUUCAAGUUAAAGAUGAGAAUUCCGAGUCUAAAGUAUUUCAGUUACUGCACAAAAACAUGUUAUUUUAUGUAUUCAAAGCAGAGGAUGCUCAUUCAGCUCAGAAGUGGAUAGAAGCAUUUCAGGAAGGCACAAUAUUGUAGCAGUAUUGGUUUCAUCUCAUCUGUGAUUCCAAAGAGGUGGAAUUUCAUCAGAAUGGAGUAAAUGCAAUUCAAAAAUUGUAUAAAAAUGAACACUGCCAAGAUAAAGCCAGCCAGA